rnacentral:rRNA from 1 species
AGGAUUAGGUUAAAAAUCAAAUAAUUUGGCGGUAUCUUAUCCCAAUAGAGGAACUUGACCUGUAAUCGAUAAUCCACGUUUUAUCUUACUCUUAUUAAUGUUUGUAUACCGUUGUUGUUAGAUUACUUUAUAUAAGUGGUAAGUUUUCUUAAUAGAGUUAGCUGUAGGAUUUUUAUUCUAGAGUAGUUCUUCUACUUCAAAUCAAGGUGCAGUUUAUGUAAGAGCUGAGUUGAGUUACUUUGUAUGAGAAAUGGAAGGUAGAAUGAAAUUCUACCUGAAAAAGGAUUUAUUAGUAAGUUGAUAUUAAUUAGAUUAGCUGAAUGGGGGUCUGAGAUAUGUACAAAUCGCCCGUCACUCUGGUUUUAAUAUCAGAUAAGUCGUAACAAAGUAGAGGUAAGGGAACUUGCCUCUAGAUGA